ensembl:ncRNA C33G3.9 ncRNA
ACUUGUUCACAUCUGUUUUACACCCAAGAAACAGCGAAGAUAAAGCAUCAGAAAGGUUAACGGAAAACGUCAAUAACCAGUUGUUCACCACCACUAACCAAAUCAGUCACACAUUUGGGAGUAGGGAGUAGGGGAAUAAGAU